UAGCUAUCUUUCCUUCUAGCAUUGGAACUCAUUCAGUAGAGAAUAAGAUAUACAGGAUUCUCAUACAAAAUUUUAAAAUAAACAUGAAUUCAGUGUUAGCCUUAUUUGCUGUGCUUGUCUUCCUCUUGGGUGCAAACACUUCACAGGCCUGGUAAGGGAACGUACUGGCAUGUUAAGAACGGCGAGGCAAUGCUAAUGACUCAAGGCCUUAAGGACGUACGGAUUUCUGUUGAUUCCACUCUCCCCAACAGAAAGAGUGCCACAAAUGUUGUUGAGGACAUUGUGCAUGAGAAACUAAGUGUUGAUGAGUCUGAUCCGAUACCAGAUUUGACCAUAUACCAUGGUGAUUCUCACUUGAAAGGAAAGGACUCAUGUGAAGAUAAGUCUGAUCAUGUGCCAGAUUUGACCAUAUAUCAUGGUGAUUCUCAUUUGAAAGGAAAGAAGAAUUUAUAUGAAGAUGAGUCGUCUGAUCCUCUACCAGAUUUGACCAUAUAUCAUGGUGAUUCCCAUUUGAGAGGAAAGAAUUCGUAUGUUGAUGAGUCAGAUCCUAUACCGGAUUUGACCAUAUACCAUGGUGAUUCUCAUUUGAAAGGAAAGAACUCAAAAGUAGAUGAGUCUGAUCCUAUACCAGACUUCCCAUCUCACACGAAAAAACUCAAAUUCAGAUGAGUCUGAUCCCAUACCAGACUUGACCAUAUACCAUGGUGACUCUCAUUUGAAAGGAAAGAACUCAAAAGUAGAUGAGUCUGAUCCUAUACCAGACUUAACCAUAUACCAUGGUGACUCCCAUCUCACAGGGAAGAACUCAAAUUCAGAUGAGUCUGAUCCUAUACCAGAUUUAACCAUCUACCACGGUGAUUCUCAUUUAAAUGGAAAGAACAUAGAUAUGGCCGAGUUCCAUCCUAUACCAGAUUUGACCAUCUACCAUGGCGAUUCCAAUUUAAAAGGAAAGGAAUAAUCUGUGCAUGGAUGUGCAUGGUCUGGUGAUCCAGUACCAGAUCUUACAAGCUACACACUGCAUGACAAAAGCAAUAUAUGUAACACAAGAAUAAAAUUGUUCCCUUGUCUUUGUUUCAUUUGUCUGUCACCUUGUUAGUUGAGAACAAGAAGUGUAUGUGUCUUUAAGUUUUCUACUGGUUUGCAUGUACUGAGCUAGUGCGAGCGAGAUCGAGUAUUACUGUUUGGUUUUUAUUUCAUGCAGUUUCACGUUUUAUCA